AGAGACUUAUUUGAUCCGGAAGCUAGGUGGGCCUGUCUGUAUAGAGGUGGAUGGCUAUGAACAGACUGAGAGCAUUGGGCAGAGGAGAGAGUGCCUACCACAGGCCCAACAAAACCGUCAAACAUAUCAAGGGCAUGCAGCAGAUUAUGUCUCAAAAGCCAUAAAGAAACACAAAGCAGAACUGAGGGAGAAGUAUAAACGUGUUUCUGAGGGUAUUGGAAAAGAAAGAGACCCAGAAGUCUUCAACAAGAUCUACACAGAGCUCACAUCGCA